AUUGAACGCUGGCGGCAGGCCUAACACAUGCAAGUCGAACGGUAACAGAAAGCAGCUUGCUGCUUUGCUGACGAGUGGCGGACGGGUGAGUAAUGUCUGGGAAACUGCCUGAUGGAGGGGGAUAACUACUGGAAACGGUAGCUAAUACCGCAUAACGUCGCAAGACCAAAGAGGGGGACCGUCGGGCCUCUUGCCAUCGGAUGUGCCCAGAUGGGAUUAGCUUGUUGGUGGGGUAACGGCUCACCAAGGCGACGAUCCCUAGCUGGUCUGAGAGGAUGACCAGCCACACUGGAACUGAGCCACGGUCCAGACUCCUACGGGAGGCAGCAGUGGGGAAUAUUGCACAAUGGGCGCAAGCCUGAUGCAGCCAUGCCGCGUGUAUGAAGAAGGCCUUCGGGUUGUAAAGUACUUUCAGCGGGGAGGAAGGGAGUAAAGUUAAUACCUUUGCUCAUUGACGUUACCCGCAGAAGAAGCACCGGCUAACUCCGUG
rnacentral:rRNA from 1 species